rnacentral:rRNA from 1 species
UGGGGAAUUUUGGACAAUGGGCGAAAGCCUGAUCCAGCAAUGCCGCGUGCAGGAUGAAGGCCCUCGGGUUGUAAACUGCUUUUGUACGGAACGAAAAAGCUUCUCCUAAUACGAGAGGCCCAUGGCGGUACCGUAAGAAUAAGCACCGGCUAACUACGUGCCAGCAGCCGCGGUAAUACGUAGGGUGCGAGCGUUAAUCGGAAUUACUGGGCGUAAAGCGUGCGCAGGCGGUUAUGCAAGACAGAGGUGAAAUCCCCGGGCUCAACCUGGGAACUGCCUUUGUGACUGCAUAGCUAGAGUACGGUAGAGGGGGAUGGAAUUCCGCGUGUAGCAGUGAAAUGCGUAGAUAUGCGGAGGAACACCGAUGGCGAAGGCAAUCCCCUGGACCUGUACUGACGCUCAUGCACGAAAGCGUGGGGAGCAAACA